rnacentral:rRNA from 1 species
AGAGCGAACGUUCGCGGCGGGCCUAACACAUGCAAGUCGAACGAGUAGUCCUUCGGGACUGCAAGUGGCGCACGGGUGAGUAACGCGUAGGUAAUCUACCUUCCAGAGGGGGAUAACUAACCGAAAGGUUAGCUAAUACCGCAUAAGCUCACGGGGUCUACGGGUCCUGGGAGAAAAGGUGGCCUCUACUUGUAAGCUAUCACUGGAAGAUGAGCCUGCGUCCCAUCAGCUAGUUGGCGGGGUAAUGGCCCACCAAGGCGAAGACGGGUAGCUGGUCUGAGAGGAUGAUCAGCCACACUGGCACUGGAACACGGGCCAGACUCCUACGGGAGGCAGCAGUGAGGAAUAUUGGGCAAUGGCGCAAGCCUGACCCAGCCACGCCGUGUGAGUGAUGAAGGCCUUCGGGUUGUAAAGCUCUGUAAGAGAGGGACGAAAAUCCUUGGGCGAAUAGGCCGAGGAAUUGACGGUACCUCUUUAGAAAGCACCGGCUAACUCUGUGCCAGCAGCCGCGGUAA